rnacentral:rRNA from 1 species
GAAACGCUGGCGGCGUGCCUCAUACAUGCAAGUCGAGCGGAUGUAGCAAUACAUCAGCGGCGGACGGGUGAGUAACACGUGGGCAACCUGGCCUUAAGAGGGGGAUAACGUCCCGAAAGGGACGCUAAUACCGCGUAAAUCAACGAGAUCGCAUGAUUUGUUGGAAAAGGAGCAAUCCGCUUAAGGAUGGGCCCGCGGCCUAUUAGCUAGUUGGUAGGGUAACGGCCUACCAAGGCGACGAUAGGUAGCCGACCUGAGAGGGUGAACGGCCACACUGGAACUGAGAAACGGUCCAGACUCCUACGGGAGGCAGCAGUAGGGAAUAUUCCGCAAUGGGCGAAAGCCUGACGGAGCAACGCCGCGUGAGUGAAGAAGGUUUUCGGAUCGUAAAGCUCUGUCAACAGGGACGAAACAAGACGGUACCUGAGAAGGAAGCCACGGCAAACUACGUG